rnacentral:misc_RNA from 1 species
UUAAGUUCAGCGGGUAUCCCUACCUGAUCCGAGGUCAACAUUUCAGAGAUGGGUUGUUUUACGGCGUGGUCACACAGCGUGUUCGAUGCGAGGUGAGUUACUACGCAGGGGACGCCGCAACGUGACCGCCACUAUAUUUCGGGGGCGGCCUGCCGCGAGUUGCAGCGGUGGCCGGUCCCCAACACCAAGCCCGGGGGCUU